AUUGAACGCUGGCGGCAGGCCUAACACAUGCAAGUCGAACGGUAACAGGAAGCAGCUUGCUGCUUUGCUGACGAGUGGCGGACGGGUGAGUAAUGUCUGGGAAACUGCCUGAUGGAGGGGGAUAACUACUGGAAACGGUAGCUAAUACCGCAUAACGUCGCAAGACCAAAGAGGGGGACCUUCGGGCCUCUUGCCAUCGGAUGUGCCCAGAUGGGAUUAGCUAGUAGGUGGGGUAACGGCUCACCUAGGCGACGAUCCCUAGCUGGUCUGAGAGGAUGACCAGCCACACGGGAACGGAGACACGGUCCAGACUCCUACGGGAGGCAGCAGUGGGGAAUAUUGCACAAGGGACGCAAGCCGGAUGCAGCCAUGCCGCGUGUAUGAAGAAGGCCUUCGGGUUGUAAAGUACUUUCAGCGGGGAGGAAGGGAGUAAAGUUAAUACCUUUGCUCAUUGACGUUACCCGCAGAAGAAGCACCGGCUAACUCCGUG
rnacentral:rRNA from 1 species